rnacentral:rRNA from 1 species
GACGAACGCUGGCGGCGUGCCUAAUACAUGCAAGUUGAGCGAUGAAGAUUGGUGCUUGCACCAAUUUGAAGAGCAGCGAACGGGUGAGUAACGCGUGGGGAAUCUGCCUUUGAGCGGGGGACAACAUUUGGAAACGAAUGCUAAUACCGCAUAACAACUUUAAACAUAAGUUUUAAGUUUGAAAGAUGCAAUUGCAUCACUCAAAGAUGAUCCCGCGUUGUAUUAGCUAGUUGGUGAGGUAAAGGCUCACCAAGGCGAUGAUGCAUAGCCGACCUGAGAGGGUGAUCGGCCACAUUGGGACUGAGACACGGCCCAAACUCCUACGGGAGGCAGCAGUAGGGAAUCUUCGGCAAUGGACGAAAGUCUGACCGAGCAACGCCGCGUGAGUGAAGAAGGUUUUCGGAUCGUAAAACUCUGUUGGUAGAGAAGAACGUUGGUGAGAGUGGAAAGCUCAUCAAGUGACGGUAACUACCCAGAAAGGGACGGCUAACUACGUG